rnacentral:tRNA from 1 species
AAAAAAUUAGUUAAUUUAUAAUAUUAGCUUGUCAAGCUAAAGUUACUUACUUUCUAGUAUUUUUUG